rnacentral:rRNA from 1 species
UACGGGUAGGUCCGAGCGUUGUCCGGAAUUACUGGGCGUAAAGAGCUCGUAGGUGGUUUGUCGCGUUGUUCGUGAAAACUCACACUCAAUUGUGGGCGUGCGGGCGAUACGGGCAGACUGAGUACUGCAGGGGAGACUGGAAUUCCUGGUGUAGCGGUGGAAUGCGCAGAUAUCAGGAGGAACACCGGUGGCGAAGGCGGGUCUCUGGGCAGUAACUGACGCUGAGGAGCGAAAGCGUGGGGAGCGAACAGG